rnacentral:rRNA from 1 species
UACGUAGGGUCCGAGCGUUGUCCGGAAUUACUGGGCGUAAAGAGCUCGUAGGUGGUUUGUCGCGUUGUUCGUGAAAACUCACAGCUCAACUGUGGGCGUGCGGGCGAUACGGGCAGACUUGAGUACUGCAGGGGAGACUGGAAUUCCUGGUGUAGCGGUGAAAUGCGCAGAUAUCAGGAGGAACACCGGUGGCGAAGGCGGAUCUCUGGGCCUGUUCUGACGCUGAGGCGCGAAAGCUAGGGGAGCGAACAGG